rnacentral:tRNA from 1 species
GGUCACAUAGCACAAUUGGUUAGUGCGUUCGCCUGUUAAGUGAGAGGUUAUAGGUUCAAGUCCUAUUGUGACCG